rnacentral:sRNA from 1 species
GGUGUUGAUAUUGGCAGACCUUUGUCUGCCGCUCUUGACAAUGGAGCCUCAUUCGCGAAAUGGAAAUCAGGUGGGAUCACUACUAUGAGUUGCAGCUAAUCCGUUGGUUAAGCUGCUUGAAAUGCCGGGGUAACUCCAGCAACUCACCUUUAGAUGUGAAACUGUGAAUCCAAGAUGUUUAAAGGGUAACUAGAUGUAUUCAAAUGUAUAUGCGAUAUUGUAAGUUCGUGGAUGGGAUGGUUAGGAUGAUAUCAUAUAUGAGCUUUAUAAUCAUAAGAAUGGAUGUUUUCAAUACCAUGACAGGUGCAAACUAUUGAUAUAGUAGAAAGACAAUGAAUGUGGCUAGACUGGAAUAUAUAAUGCCAGGCACCAGUUUGGGAAACAUCGAUGGACACGAAGACAGGAUGAGAGGAUUAAUCCAAGCGUUAACUUUAUUAAAGUAUUUGAAUUGGAAAUAUCCGUGGUAAUGCUUGCAUAGAGGCACCACCAGGAUCUUUGCAGUAUUAUUAAUUAAAUGUGUUGGGGCGGGUUUCAGUGGUGUUGUGUGUGUUUCCUGGAGAUAUUCAUUCAAUAAAUUGAUUUAUUUAUUCUUGCUUCGGCCUCAGCGACCGCGUAAUCUUCGUCGCUCCGUGGUAAUAUUAUUUAUUGGAUUAUAAUUCGCUCGUACAUGUUUAUAGGUAGUUGAUCUACUAAACAUCGUUAAAAUUUUGCGAGAUGGAAUUUUCUAUAAAUGUGACCCUCAAGUAUUUAUUAGAAUUCCGUGUACUCUUUUUUGGAUAUUUAUCGGGGUAAUCGUUAAUGUUUAUGUGGACAUAUAUUUUAUUCGUAGGUUGUGUAUGCGUACAAUCUAAACUGUAGGUUUCAUUUUAUUUCAGUGCACUAAAUGGAAUUAUAAUUGGUUUGAAAUUCAUUUUCGCUACCAGGGACUCUUUAGUUAAUCUCAAAAUUAUCUAACACAUUACACACAUAGAAUGAAGUUAUCAAUUUAUUAUAGUAGUGGAUACGGAUUUCUAUAGGGUAUUUUACGCAUCCAAAUGAAAAAUCAGCUAACUCACUGAUUGAUUGGCUACUUACACAAAUAACAAGAGUAACGCAAAAACAGGCAAACAUAACUAACACCUCUAAUCACUCCACAUUGGAAAUAAUAAAGUUUUCUUUUCGAAUAGCACGUGGUAGCGCAAUGUGAGCAUCGGCAUCUGCUGCCUUCUUCAUUCGUUGCACAAACGUUAAAUUAAACUAUAGAAUACGGGUAUAUGGACUAUUCAAUAGGUUUAAUUCACGCGUUCCAGCAGGCCGUCGUUUGGGUGCUUUCAGGUUAAGCAAUGCAACACGUUUAAUAAUUUUCUUUUAGUUAUAUAUGUAUAGGUAGAUUAA